AUAUGCUGAGUACAGAUAUACAUAUAUGUAUGUAGACAUUUGUAAAAGUUUUCGCUACCAACCAGACGCAAAAUCAGCUGAGCAAUACAAUCCACAAACGUAAACAAAAAGUUUGCCAAAUAAAAUGCCAUUAGCAACAAAAAACAAAUAAAGACUUCCAUAUGGGGUAAACGAGGGAAAGAAAAGAACGGGGGGCGAUAAAACAAAAACAGAGUGAGAGAGAGAAAACUAAACAGAAAAAAGGGAAAAACAAAAACAAACACACCUACUCAUACACACGCAACCGCAGCCACUACUGAGUUGGAGCACGUUGGCGCUCUCUUGCCGCGUUAUCAAUGCGCUCCACACGAUAAAUAGUCAGCAAAAGCGAGCCCCAACAUGGAUCGUUUUGGCUAUUUGCUAGCUGACGCUAACAUUUAGUCCACCAACGACCUAACAACGCGAAGGUUGUGUUUUUUCGAUUUGUUUGCGAAAGUAAAUCGUGAAAUCGUCGUGUUAAUUACAUAGGUACAAUACGUGCUAAAAGAGUGCGAGUGCGUUGACUGCAGAAAAUCUAUUUACUCACUUGUUAUACUAUUGGGUGAAGACCACUUUUUACAGGAAAAAGAAAUACAAUACUUAGAAAAAAAUUUGGUGUGAAAAGAAAAAUAUUAGGAAAAGUUUUGAAAAAAGUCGAGUGUUUGAAGCAUAUAAACUAUUGCUGUUCGUAAAAAAGUUUUUAAGAAAUUAUCAAAUUAAAAAAAAACAAUUCCUGUAAAAAUGUAUAAAUUCCUUUAAGGAAAAAAUAUUGGAAAAAAGAGCGCCAUACAAAAGUGAAAGAGUCAAAACUUCUACAAUUCAAGUUCCGAGGACAAAUUUAAAAAAUACAUACAAAAAAUUAAAAAAAAAUUAAUGGUCUAAAAUAAAAAAAACAUAAGAAGUUCGCGAAAAGCUCUGCUUACAGUUUUAGUUCCAAAAACUAAAAGAAAAUCAAACCGAAUUUCAAUAAAUUUCGCAAUAAAAAAUAAAUAAAAUCCAACAACAAAAACGAAAGCAAGCAAUUUCGUUUGCCACAUUUCGUCAUCAGACCAAAAUUUGCCGCAUUGCAGCAUUGCUUGCAUAUAUGUAUGUAGCAAUCCAGAAAUUUGUACGGAAAAGUGAUACAAGUGCGGAAGCAGUACAGUUUUUUUUUUUAAUUUAAUAAAAAAUAGUGAGCUACAAAACUCGAAAAGUUUUUAUCAAAUACUUAUCUAUAUAAUAUCAAAUCUUAAUUUAAAAAUAACAACAACUAACCCUCGUUUAGAUUUCUUUUCAAGUGAAAUUAUUUGUUUUGAGGAAAAAGUUAGACACUCCUUUUUAAAAUAAAAAAUUAUUUAAAUAAAAAUAAUAAUUUUGUGCAAACCAGCCAAAAAUCAACAAAAAAUGAGUGUAAAGUGUUAACGAAAUAUUUAUAACCAACUGUAAAAUCCCCAAAUUCUGCGGUCAGCAACCAAGCAAAAACACUUGGAAAUCAUCGGCCAACGAAGAAGUCUAGUGAGCAACUGAAAAUUUCCAUUAAUUUAACAGCGACUUAUUCAUCAAACUAAAAUGUUGCUGUUGUCGCUGAUUUGGACGCUUUCGCUAGGAUUGGCAAAUG